rnacentral:lncRNA from 1 species
UCUUAUACGCAAACAACUUAUCCUGUUAAGAAGUUUGUUCUGUAAAAAUUGAUCUCCGUUCAAAGAGCAUUUAUUCGUGUAUUAUAUAUCUCACUACAAAAAAAAAUCUCCUUGAUGGUCAUGUAAGCCAAAAGGACAUUGCUAAAAUUGUCGGCGUCAAUGUCAGCACAGUCCCCGAAUGCAACACACUAGGGGCACCGAGAGGUCUCCUGAAAGUCGUGGCAACAACCAGAAGAGAGAUGAAACCUUCAUCCUAAAGGCCAAGGUAGAUGUCGACCCAACGACCAGCAUGAGGAGGCUAGCCAAAGGCUUCAGCGUUGGAAAGACCAUCAGGGUGGUUAUCCAUAAAGAUUUGGGCCUCAAUUCCUAUGUCCGAAGACAAAGUUAAAGCAGAAGAGACUAAAGAGUUGUAAGAAAAUCCACUCAGACCUCAACCCCCUCUACUAUUUCUGGUGGGGCGUCAUCGAGAGGAAGACCAAUGUGGACCCUCUCAACGCUGACAAGGUGUAGAUAGACUACCCUUAACCGAAUAUCAAGGAGUACGUCAACUUGAGGGAUAUAAUCGAGGCCAUCAUUUCUCUAGAUUUUUGUUCAAUAUUGUAUUUACGUUAACGCAUCGCAUAUUCAUAUACACUCUCUAUAGAAAGUAUUCAGUAUCAUCAAUGCAAGCUAAAUACUCAAUUACCUUACCUAUCAAGAACUAAAAAUAAAGUGCUUGAAGAAUAUUACGUCAUUUAGUCGAAGGAGAUCUGUCGAUCCUCCUGAUAAGAAUUAUUGAUCCCUACUCAAAACUUGAGCGUAUCUCACUCCUAGAAAAGUAAUACGUUUGAUACAUUUUGAUGGGAAACAGUAAUUGUGUAUUUACCCAACUAGUCAGUGCCCAUAUUUUGAUUUCCAAGCAAAGGACAUGAGUCACAAUUAUGUUAAAAGGUUAAACUUGGAUAGUUGUUAGAUUUUCUUUAAUAAAAAAAAAAUUGAUUCCGAGGUUUCUUUAAUAUUUUUAAAUAGACUUUAAUUAAAUACAACUGUAUUAUUAUAGAAAAUCCUUAUUUUAUAUUAAAUGAAGUAACCGAACCGUUCUCUUUUACACAUGAAAAUGGACUAAACCCGUAAAAAAAUUAAUAAAUUUACCCAUAAGUCCUCCAAUCGGUCUGGAGAGGAUGUAAAAAGAGGGGCAAAUGAGAACAGUUGCCCAACUAACAUAUAGCAAUAUUAUUAUCUUUUUUUAAAUUUGUUAAUGACCUUAAAAAACGAUGCACGGAGUUUGAUCGUUACUAACCCUUUAUUGGUCAAAUUAUGAAUGAGUAACUCAAACAAUGUAACUUUUGUAGGGAAAUGUUCCUUUAUUAAUUUUGAAAACAUUUGGAAUCAACGAACACUUAAGUGUUGAAAUUUAGAUACAUAUUUAAGCUCAUAAUUAAUAUACUAUAGUAGACAUUAUGUUAUGUAAAUAUUUGUUAAGACAGUGUUAAUUUCGUCAACUAUGAAUGUUUUUUGUAUAGCAAUUACUAGACGAAACGAAAGGAUUAUUUUUAAUGAUUCUUCGGACUGAAGCAAAUCUUUUCAUUUAUCGAAAAAAAAAAAAAUCCCAUGACGAAAUGUGGGGAAAUAAGACGAAAUUAACACUUUCUUAAGAAACAUCAAAGAACACUUUUUGGAACAAAAUAAAUGAAGAAUUCCAAGCAAUCUUGGAUCUUAUUUACUUAAAUAUUUAUAUAUAUAUAUAAUUACCCUUACACUAGUUGGAUAAAUAUAAUUUUAAACUCGAAAUUAUAAAUAAUAUAUAAUAACUAAUAUACCACUUCACAACCACUUGUACGACUCUUGUUUGAACACAUUUCAUAUUUUGUCAAUAAGAAAUUAAAUUAAUUUGAAAAUAAAUACAAUAACUUGUUGUGUGUAAGUAAAACUUAGAAUGAAAUUAAUGAUACAUUUGAUUUAUAGUGUUAUUUAGAAUCAUUUAAUUUGCCACAAGUGUGUUAGUUUAGUAAUUGAAUUUGAGUGUCAAACUUUUUUUACAGUCCUAUCAUAACAUAAGAAACCAUCUUUGCUUUUAUAUUUUUUUAAUAAAUGAAAUAACUUUUCAGUCAACCAUA